rnacentral:rRNA from 1 species
CCGGCGACCGGCGCACGGGUGAGUAACACGUAUGCGACCUGCCCCCCGCAGGGGGAUAACCGGGAGAAAUCCCGACUAAUACCGCGUAACGCCGCGGACCUGCAUGGGUCUGCGGCCAAAGGAAGCGAUUCCGGCGGGGGAUGGGCAUGCGGCGCAUUAGCUAGUCGGCGGGGUAACGGCCCACCGUGGCGACGAUGCGUAGGGGUUCUGAGAGGAAGGUCCCCCACACUGGUACUGAGACACGGACCAGACUCCUACGGAAGGCAGCAG